rnacentral:tRNA from 1 species
GGGCUAGUACUCAAGUUGGUGAAGAGGCCUCCCUGCUAAGGAGGUAGCGCGGAGUGAUCUGCGGCGGGGGUUCGAGUCCCUUCUAGCCCGCCA